AGGAGGCCUGAGAAAAUAAGGCAGUUCCAUGUACUGCAUUUAUUGGUUACAACCUCCAAAAUCAAAUUGUGCAAAAGCAAGUCAUGUUCCUUUGACUCAUAUAGGAAUACCAUUGCUACUUGCAUAUA